rnacentral:rRNA from 1 species
UGACCGCUGGCGGCGUGCCUAAUACAUGCAAGUCGAGCGAACAGACGCGGAGCUUGCUCCUCUGACGUUAGCGGCGGACGGGUGAGUAACACGUGGAUAACCUACCUAUAAGACUGGGAUAACUUCGGGAAACCGGAGCUAAUACCGGAUAAUAUAUUGAACCGCAUGGUUCAAUAGUGAAAGACGGUUUUGCUGUCACUUAUAGAUGGAUCCGCGCCGCAUUAGCUAGUUGGUAAGGUAACGGCUUACCAAGGCGACGAUGCGUAGCCGACCUGAGAGGGUGAUCGGCCACAAUGGAACUGAGGAAAGGUCCAGACUCCUAAGGGAGGCAGCAGUAGGGAAUCUUCCGCAAUGGGCGAAAGCCUGACGGAGCAACGCCGCGUGAGUGAUGAAGGUCUUCGGAUCGUAAAACUCUGUUAUUAGGGAAGAACAAAUGUGUAAGUAACUAUGCACGUCUUGACGGUACCUAAUCAGAAAGCCACGGCUAACUACGUG